rnacentral:rRNA from 1 species
UACGUAGGUGGCAAGCGUUGUCCGGAUUUACUGGGCGUAAAGAGCGCGCAGGCGGUCGUGCAAGUCGCGUGUGAAAGCCCCCGGCUCAACUGGGGAGGGUCACGCGAUACUGCUCGACUCGAAGGCAGGAGAGGGAAGUGGAAUUCCUGGUGUAGCGGUGAAAUGCGCAGAUAUCAGGAGGAACACCGGUGGCGAAGGCGGGUCUCUGGGCCGAUAUUGACGCUGAGGAGCGAAAGCGUGGGGAGCGAACAGG